ACAGCUCUCAGCCUGCUCACGUCAAUUUCCUUCUCUGCUUUAGUUGUAGCCUCCAGGUGAUAGUGGAAGGCUUCAAAGACAGCCAUAGCCAGCCCAGAGCCUAGGAAAUGCAUCUCUGCCACUGCCUGCUCAGCCCCGCUCUGGGGAGCCUGCCCUGUCCUCUGGCCACGUCUGUGGGAGCUGAGGUGUGGCAGGGACAGCAGAAUGGUUGGGGAAAAAUCCCUGGCUGGGCGUCUCACCUGCAGUGAGGAGGAAGCCAGAGCAGAGGAUGCAGGAAAUUCGCCUCCAUUCCUGUCACUAUUUAUAUGCUGGGAGUGGCCAGGGCCCCUCUGCACUGAGCACUGCAGAAACAUAUCCAAAGACAUGGUUCCUGCCCCAGCGAGCUUAGCCCCAGCUCCCCUCCUCUCCAAAGCUGGGGCGGGAGUGAUCCCCCACAGCUCCCUCCAUCCUGGAUGGCAUGGAGAGUGCAGUUGCUUUUAACCUCCACCCACAACUCCAGCGCUGGGCUCCUGUGGCCAUGCUCCAACCGUCCCUCGCUGCACUCCGGCCAGCACCACUGCCCUCAGGGUCUUGCAGGCACAGCACAUGCAGGGCAGCUCCUGUGCACUUCUCGGGGCAGAGCUGAGAGCUGUGGAUGUAGCACCAGCACUGAGGCCUUGUCUACACUAUCCAGUUUUAUUGCCAAAACUGCUGUUUGUCAACCCAGACAGUGAGUGCGUACACACUGCGAGGCAACUUUUGUUGGGAAAAAUGCCCAGUUUUGGUGGCAAAAUACAUCCACCCUCAUAAGAGAUUUGUCUUUUUCCUCUACAUUUUUGUCAACAAAGUGCAAGUGUAGACACAACACUUGAUUUCAUCACUUUAAUUAGCCUCCAGGAGGUGUCCCACAGUGCCCAUCCUGACUGCUCUGGUCAGCAGUUUGAACUCCCCUGCCCUGCAGCCAGGGAAACAACUAUCUACCUCUCCCUCUUAGAAGCCACGAGAAUUUUUGAAAUUCCAUUUCCCCCUGGCUCGGCGUGGAGAGGUCUCAUCGCAUCUUCCCAGGUGACCAUGGUGGGUUAUUGCAGCAAACGUGCUCCCGCUUGGACCACUGCAGAGCUGUUGGAUCUACUCAGUGUAUGGGGAGAGGAGGCUGUGCAGUCCCAGCUGUAAUUGAGCCAUAGGAAUCGGGACACCUACGGACACAUUUCUCGAGGCUUGUGCGAAAAGGGCUGUGAUCAUGACACACUGCAGUGCAGAGCAAAGAUAAAGGAGCUGAGGCAGAUGUACCAUAAGGCGAGGGAGGCAAACAGUCGCUCAAGUAUUUCACCUAAGUCCUGCCAAUGCUGUAAGGAGCUGGAUGCUAUCCUCAGUGGCGACCCCAUCUCCAUCGCCAAGAGCCCCGUGGAUACUGCGGAGGGCACGGAGGCGGCAGAAUGAGGACAUAACCCGGAGGAUGAAGUUAUUGAUGAAGAGGUGGAGUUAGAUGACGAUGUGCAGCUCCCGGUGGGGCAGGCAGCCAGGAACUGUUCUCCACUCUAGAGGUGUCUAGCCAGUCUCAGCAGUUGCUCUUCAGUGAACAAGAAGAAGGAGAUGAGACACCCUGUGCUGUGCGUGAACUUAAUCCUGCUUCUGUGCAUUGUCCCCUGUGCUUCACCCGAUGUGGCUUGAGGAACACCCCAACACCCUAGCCAAGCGUCUCCGCCAGAUAAGAAAGCGCCCAAGAUGCAGCAAAGAAGACGUGUUCCGGGAGGCCCUGCAAAGCUCCAAUGCAGAAAAAAGGGAACGCAAGGAGUGCUGGGAAGCCGAAUGGCAGGACAGAAAAGAGAAUCACGCGUUUGUUAAGGACGCAACUGAGCGGAUGAUUAAAGUCAUGGAGGAGCAAACGCAGAUGCCGAAGUCCUUAACAGUGCUGCAGACUGAGUAGAUCUUUGCACGACCUCCCCUGCAGCACAUGCAGCACUCUUUUCCAUGCCCCGCCCAACUCCACUCACCCCGUCCUUUCCACCUUCCUGCAUGUCUCGGUUUCCCCUUCACUCCACCCCCUCGGACAACUUUCACAAUGAGAGCCGGACCUACACCCAGUUCUGAGAGUCUGCCCUUGCCUGGUUCCUCCUUUCCCAGAAAGCAUCUGUGUGCGCUGUUUCUUCUG